AGCGAACGCUGGCGGCAUGCCUAACACAUGCAAGUCGAACGAUGCUUUCGGGCAUAGUGGCGCACGGGCGCGUAACGCGUGGGAAUCUGCCCUUGGGUUCGGAAUAACCGUUGGAAACGACGGCUAAUACCGGAUGAUGUCGAUAAGACCAAAGAUUUAUCGCCUGAGGAUGAGCCCGCGUAGGAUUAGCUAGUUGGUGUGGUAAGAGCGCACCAAGGCGACGAUCCUUAGCUGGUCUGAGAGGAUGAUCAGCCACACUGGGACUGAGACACGGCCCAGACUCCUACGGGAGGCAGCAGUGGGGAAUAUUGGACAAUGGGCGCAAGCCUGAUCCAGCAAUGCCGCGUGAGUGAUGAAGGCCUUAGGGUUGUAAAGCUCUUUUACCCGGGAUGAUAAUGACAGUACCGGGAGAAUAAGCUCCGGCUAACUCCGUGCCAGCAGCCGCCGUAA
rnacentral:rRNA from 1 species